rnacentral:lncRNA from 10 species
UGCAGGAGGGGACUAAUCAGAGGCAGUCAGACGCCGAAGAGCUGGAGGACAAAGGAAACACCCGCUGCCCCUACUCCUCUCAUCCUUCUAGGCAGCUCUCCCGGCGUCACCUGGACAUUGCUUUCAUCAGAGGCUGCUUUGAGGAAAGGAGGGGGGUCGCUCUUAGCUGUUGGCAGCUGGAUCCGUCGGUUCUGGUGCUCUGUGGCCAGAACCUUUGAACCUUCUCAUAGGACUUGCAGUAAAACUUGCUUACGAAGAACUGCACAUGAGCCAUCAAACCCAGAAACCCGCUGGGUGGACACUGGUGUGACCUGAAAACAGAAGGGCCACGCAGCACGGGCUCCACCUGAAACCGGCACCCCCUGUGCUGAAAGAAGAAUCGGACAAAGGCAAGAGCUGCAGGUGCACGCGGGACGCCCCUGCCCGUGACACGGCCACAGAAAUCUCCAGAACACAUCCACAGCAUCUCACACGAGGGGUGCGGCCUUCCCUCGGCCCCGUCAGGACGCAUUUAGGCAAGCAGGCAGGUCAUUUGUAGAAUGGACGGCCGCCAAUGGCGCAGAGGAAGAGCCUCGAGACAUGAUGAUUUGGUUUUAGAUGUAGGGGAGUUGCUCCUGUACUGUUUGUUUGGACUCAAUUAAUAGUAAAUGAUGCAAAGUUGUUUCACGUCCCCAGCCUCGCCUUCUACUUUUCCUUCUUCUGCUCUGGAAUGCCGUCAAUGCCGGCCCUGUGUGCAGCUUGCCUCUUUCUGUGCUGGUCCUGGGAGGUCUUCCCAGCACGCACCCCCACCCAACUCCCCCUUGGGGUCCCUUCCCAUGAGGGUCACCUGGGACGGCAUGUUUCUGGGGCUAGGUGGCGGCUGGAGCAGGGCAGGGAGCCAAGCUGGGGGGUCAGAUGGGGCAGGGCCUGGAGGCUGGGCAUGGGUGGGCGUGGUCCCAAAGGUGACGGGAAGCCCUAUGGGUGCUUCCAGGGGUCAUCCGGCCCCAUGUGUGGAACAGACGGCAGGAACCAGGACUGCGGCAGG